rnacentral:rRNA from 1 species
ACGACUCUCGGCAACGGAUAUCUUGGCUCUCGCAUCGAUGAAGAACGUAGCGAAAUGCGAUACUUGGUGUGAAUUGCAGAAUCCCGCGAACCAUCGAGUCUUCGAACGCAAGUUGCGCCCGAGGCCACUCGGCCGAGGGCACGCCUGCCUGGGCGUCACGC